rnacentral:rRNA from 1 species
UAGGGAAUCUUCGGCAAUGGACGAAAGUCUGACCGAGCAACGCCGCGUGAGUGAAGAAGGUUUUCGGAUCGUAAAACUCUGUUGUUAGAGAAGAACAAGGACGUUAGUAACUGAACGUCCCCUGACGGUAUCUAACCAGAAAGCCACGGCUAACUACGUGCCAGCAGCCGCGGUAAUACGUAGGUGGCAAGCGUUGUCCGGAUUUAUUGGGCGUAAAGCGAGCGCAGGCGGUUUCUUAAGUCUGAUGUGAAAGCCCCCGGCUCAACCGAGGAGGGUCAUUGGAAACUGAGAGACUUGAGUGCAGGAGAGGGGAGUGGAAGUCCAUGUGUAGCGGUAAAAUACGUAAAUAUAUGGAGAAACACCAGUGGCGAAGGCGGCUCUCUGGUCUGUAACUGACACUGAGGCUCGAAAGCGUGGGGAGCAAACAGG